UUUGAGCUGGCGAGCGGCGGACGGGUGAGUAAUGCCUGGGAAAUUGCCCAGUCGAGGGGGAUAACAGUUGGAAACGACUGCUAAUACCGCAUACGCCCUACGGGGGAAAGCAGGGACUUCGGGCCUUGCGCGAUUGGAUAUGCCCAGGUGGGAUUAGCUAGUUGGUGAGGUAAUGGCUCACCAAGGCGACGAUCCCUAGCUGGUCUGAGAGGAUGAUCAGCCACACUGGAACUGGAGACACGGUCCAGACUCCUACGGGAGGCAGCAGUGGGGAAUAUUGCACAAUGGGGGAAACCCUGAUGCAGCCAUGCCGCGUGUGUGAAGAAGGCCUUCGGGUUGUAAAGCACUUUCAGUGAGGAGGAAAGGUCAGUAGCUAAUAUCUGCUGACUGUGACGUUACUCGCAAAGAAGCACCGGUUAACUCCGUGCCAGCAGCCGCGGUAAUACGGAGGGUGCAAGCGUCAAUCGGAAUUACUGGGCGUAAAGCGCACGCAGGCGGUUGGAUAAGUUAGAUGUGAAAGCCCCGGGCUCAACCUGGGAAUUGCAUUUAAAACUGUCCAGCUAGAGUCUUGUACAGGGGGGUAGAAUUCCAGGUGUACGG
rnacentral:rRNA from 1 species